UAGGGAAUCUUCCACAAUGGACGCAAGUCUGAUGGAGCAACGCCGCGUGAGUGAAGAAGGUCUUCGGAUCGUAAAACUCUGUUGUUAGAGAAGAACACGAGUGAGAGUAACUGUUCAUUCGAUGCGGUAUCUAACCAGCAAGUCACGGCUAACUACGUGCCAA
rnacentral:rRNA from 1 species